rnacentral:rRNA from 1 species
AUGUCAUUCUAUGAUUUCUGUCGGGUUUGUUUAGUCCCUUUUGGGGGCAAUACAGAAGAACCACAUUGUGAUGAUGAGGAGGGAUUUAUUGACACUAUCACUAUAGGGGAAACAAGGAAGGUUUCUGAUGCACGAAUCACUAGCAUACACUUUCUUGUUCUACGUUAUUUUGCAUUAUUUGCUAGUCAUUGCUUAAUUGGUCACGGAAACUGUGGAAACCUGAGUAUCCCUGAUAUUAUCAUUUUGCACCAUGGCUUAUACGGUGAUAACUCUUUUAGUAUAGGCGGCAUUGUUGCUAGACGGUUAAGUAUGAACCGUACUAAGGUCCCAUCUUUGGAGGCAUAUAUGCUUCACGCCUCGCUGCACAUUUUAACAUACCUAUUAGGCAUUAUGAGAAGGAAGAAAAGGUGCUGCCUCGUGUUUAUUUAUAUUAUAAAAGUAUGGUAG